rnacentral:rRNA from 1 species
AAUGAACGCUGGCGGCGCGCCUAAUACAUGCAAGUCGAGCGAGAAGACGUAGCAAUACGUUUGUAAAGCGGCGAACGGGUGAGGAAUACAUGGGUAACCUACCCUCGAGUGGGGAAGUAACUAGCCGAAAGGUUAGCUAAUACCGCGUACGCUCCUUGGACUUCGGUUCAGGGAGGAAAGCGAUACCGUGGGUAUCGCGCUCUUGGUUGGGCUCAUGUCCUAUCAGCUUGUUGGUGAGGAACGGCUCACCAAGGCUUCGACGGGUAGCUGGUCUGAGAGGACGAUCAGCCACACUGGCACUGCGACACGGGCCAGACUCCUACGGGAGGCAGCAGUAAGGAAUAUUGCGCAAUGGGGCGAAAGCCUGACGCAGCGACGCCGCGUGGGGGAGUGAA